UACGAGGGGGGCGAGCGUUGUUCGGAAUUAUUGGGCGUAAAGGGUGCGUAGGCGGUUUGGUAAGUCUUAUGUGAAAUCUAUGGGCUCAACUCAUAGUCUGCAUGAGAAACUGCCGGGCUUGAGUAUGGGAGAGGUGAGUGGAAUUCCUGGUGUAGCGGUGAAAUGCGUAGAUAUCAGGAGGAACACCUGUGGCGAAAGCGGCUCACUGGACCAUAACUGACGCUGAGGCACGAAAGCGUGGGGAGCAAACAGG
rnacentral:rRNA from 1 species